rnacentral:rRNA from 1 species
GAUGAACGCUGGCGGCGUGCCUAAUACAUGCAAGUCGAGCGAACAGACGAGGAGCUUGCUCCUCUGACGUUAGCGGCGGACGGGUGAGUAACACGUGGAUAACCUACCUAUAAGACUGGGAUAACUUCGGGAAACCGGAGCUAAUACCGGAUAAUAUAUUGAACCGCAUGGUUCAAUAGUGAAAGACGGUUUUGCUGUCACUUAUAGAUGGAUCCGCGCCGCAUUAGCUAGUUGGUAAGGUAACGGCUUACCAAGGCAACGAUGCGUAGCCGAGCUGAGAGGGUGAUCGGCCACACUGGAACUGAGACACGGUCCAGACUCCUACGGGAGGCAGCAGUAGGGAAUCUUCCGCAAUGGGCGAAAGCCUGACGCAGCAACGCCGCGUGAGUGAUGAAGGUCUUCGGAUCGUAAAACUCUGUUAUUAGGGAAGAACAAAUGUGUAAGUAACUAUGCACGUCUUGACGGUACCUAAUCAGAAAGCCACGGCUAACUACGUG